rnacentral:lncRNA from 1 species
UUUGUUUCAGCCUUCAUGGUACUGGAAUUAAAAAAUCUGUCUGUGUGUGGUGUUAAUGUAUUUAGCAGCAUGAUUGAUUUAACAGAGCCUCGGUGAGGCGGACCAGGAGAGCACUCUCUCAAAAGGCCAACCUGGAGGAGCGUGUUCCACGUCUAGUAGCCGGCGGAAAUCACGAUGAAUUGGAACACACUCUUUGGAGCUUGACUGAAGACAAAAGGCGCCUGGCAGAUGUGGGUUGGAUGGUUAAAUUGGGCUCCAGGAGAGAAUGGGAGAGGAAUCUUCUGUGUCUCCAAGCAAAGAUGUGAAGAAGACAGAAGCUGUUUUGGUCAUAAGGGAGGUCCCAUUUAGUUUUGCAAUACUGAAGAAUUGCACAGAGUGACUAAAAUUAUUACAA